CAUUUUCCCUUUUAACCCAUCAGAUCUCUCACAUGUUAGGGACACGCAAAAAGCGUGACCCCUUGCCCAUUUUUUGGCGAUUCUUCGGCUAUAUCCCCUCUCUUUCUUCUCCAUUCUCACUGGAGAUCGGACACCCACAGAUCAGACCCCAAAAAUUGAGCAGUGGUUUUCACCUUCUCCAACACAGACCGCCAGCAUCUUCUUCUUCACAAACGAGAGAAGACCCUUCGAUCCCCUCUGAAAAUCAACAGCCAUAGCUUCGAGCUUCACCCUCCUCACCACCAAAUCAGUCCUUGCUCCCUCCUCUUCGUUCAGCAACACCACCUGAACAGAGCAAAACACAGAACAAACACAAAACAAAAAAAGUAGCAGCAAAAAGUAUCAAACAAUCCUCAAAGCUUCAGCUAUUUGAAACAGUUUUCGAAUUCAAUUUCCGUGCAGAAUCGAGGUUCCGACUUGGUCUUUGUUGAUGAAUCCAUCCAUGUUUAGCUUCGUCGGCUGGCUUUUCUUUUUAAACGGGCAGCAGUUCCUUUGACAAUUUGAAAGCAACUCAGUCUUCGUGCGGCGAGUGUGUUUGAUUGAGCGGGUGUCGUUUCGAGUCGCUCGCUGAUUGCCGAUCGAGUCAUUAUGCUGGAGGAAAUCACUAAUUUCACUGCUGUUUGGACACUCUGUUGAGUACUCUGAGCUUUAGCUUUCCAUUUCAGCUUCACUUGGUUAAUUUCAAGCUAUAUUAUUGCUAUCGAGGUAUUUCGCUUACUUAUUUCUUAUGAAUCUCUGAAAUGUAUGGAGUUUUCGUGUUGAUGUGAUUUGUUUUUGGCUCAGAAAUGGAAUUGCUGUUUACGAAUAUUACUGCCAAAUUGGUUUGAGUAUUUUAAGUUUGAAAUUCUGUUUAAUUCGUAUGGAUCGUGAAUCUUACUGUUCUUGUGGUUGCUGCUGUUUAGUGCAGUACUUGCUAAUCUCUAGUACUAAUUGUGCGUUUAGCUGAACAAGUAGACAAUUGAAGUCUUACUGAUUGAUAUGGCAUCUAGUUGAUAUUUGUUCAUUAGCAGAUGAUGAUUUAUAUUAUUUGGGUUGAUUGCACCAUGAAGCUCCUGAUUCGAGUUUUUCUCUUUUAGAACUGAGGCCACCCUAUAAACUUUAAUUUUCUCUUUGGAUUUGUAGAAUCAUAUUGCUGAAUGGUGAAGCUAUCAGAGUUGCCAAGUUAAACAUUCUACUAAAAUUUUGCCCAUUCUUCUUUAUUGUAAAUGUUGAAGCUAAAGGUGAAUGAAUAAGUUAGAUACAUUCAAACAAAAGGCAAAAGGGUAUAAAUCCAUUACUUGAUAUUUAGUUUGAUGUACUGUUGUUUGAUUUGGAAGAAUAACAUAUCAGUUAAUAAAGUUGGUUGUGAUGUAAGGAUUGAGAGUCAAUUUUUGUAUUGAAGCAAUUCUCUGUUUUUUUUCUCGAGUGUUAAUGGAAUUAGCACAGCAAUAUAGAAACAUGUAAAAGAUCUGAUCUAUUACGUCAAUUGUUAGAAUAUCAGGGACUAGUUAUCAACUCGUCGUUUGGGAUGAUUCAGUUUCCGUGCUUUGGAGUUUGGUGUGAACAAUUAUUUGUCUUAAUUUGCCUACAUGAAGUUUAAAGUAUGAUUGUUUUAUUUGGUUGUGAUUGAGCGAUAGUUUACAGUUAGAUUAAUGAGCUUCUUUUAUUGUUUGAAAUGAUAGUAUAAUAUCCAUGUUAUAAAUUAGAUUAAAGUAGGAUCCCCCUUUAAUUUGCCCUUUAAAAACAUAUGUAUAUAAACCUUUUUCUUAAAUUAAUUUGAGGUACGUCAUGCCAAAUAAAAUCACAAAUUACGUGACCCUUUUUAAUUUUUUUUUUUUAAAAAUAGUUAGAAUUUGGGACGCGCUGUCUAGCAAAUUUCACGGUCCUCCCAAAAGAUUAAACGCGUAGUUGCUUUAGGCGCGUUAUUUUAAUAACAUUACCUUCCUAAAUAUAUAUGCUGCCCACCUUCAAAUCCUAAAACGUUGAACAAAGUGUGUCUAGGAUUGCGGGUUCAUUUGAUGCGGCGCAAUCCGAAAACACAUUUUAAACGACGNNNNNNNNNNNNNNNNNNNNNNNNNNNNNNNNNNNNNNNNNNNNNNNNNNNNNNNNNNNNNNNGGCGCAAUCCGAAAACACAUUUUAAACGACGUUCACUUUCUCAAAUAAAUAUAUAUUUAAUAAAAGCGGUUAAAGAUAAAAUUGGCACAUAGGUAUCUCAUGUAUUAAAAUCAGAUUUUAGCCAUUCAUAGCAAUUUAAGCGAUCGUGCUAGAACCACGGGAUCCGAGGGUGCCUAACAUCUUCCCUCGGGUCAACAGAAUUACUUAUUCAGAAUUUCUGAUUCGCAGACUCCAAUCAGAAGUCGAAAUUUUUCCUCGGUUCGGGAUUCAUGAAAAACUAGUGACUUGGGACACCAAAAGUCAAAUCUAUCACAAGUGGCGACUCUGAAUAAAUAAUCCUGAUCUGAAUAAUGUCACUUAAAAUGGAAAAAACUCCCUUAUACAUUUAUCCUCCGGGGUAGGUGUGUAAAAAGGAGGUGUGACACCACCAUUACUUAGUAACCUUGAGAGCUUUUGACGAGAUUUUUAUGAGGGUUUUGACUGGGAAUCGAUUGAAGGUAAGUUCUAUGGCCAUGAAACAUCAUUUAAUUGUGAUUUCAACACUUAAAUUCAUGGAAAUUUGAUUAAAAGGGGAAGAAUUAUGGCUUGACUUUUUGAAUGAAAAAUUGGGAUUUGAGGGAGCAAUUGAGCUCCGAUUCUUGUGAUUUUAAUAUGUAUAAACUCGUGACGAGAUAAGAUAUUCGGUGAUGUUAAAUUUUUUGAUUUUCGAGAAGUGAGCCCGGGGCUCGGAUUUUGAAAAUUUUGUGAAUUUUGAUAUUUUUUGAGUCUUUUCGAUUGGGUUGUGUUCCCUUAGCCUAUUGUAACGUAUUCGUUAUAGUCAUGGUCAGAUUCGACAUGCGAGGAGGUCGAUUCGAGAGGAAAAGGCAUAGCUAUCUAGACUUUGGCCGGCUAGAGGUGAGUAAUAUAUGUAAAUGAUGUCCCGAGGGUUUGAAACCCCUAUAUUUCACAUCGUAAUGAUAUAUUGCGGCGAGACACGCGCUCUACUACGAGUGCGGGAUCGAUUGAUAUUGGGGAUUGUGACUUGGUCUGUCCCGAGUGACAUUUUUACUGUGCUUUCGACUAGAACUUACUUGAAAAAUCAUCCUACUUGGAUUAAAUUGCUACAUUUGGGCUUUGUGCCAAUUAUUUGAUCAUUCACGGAUUGUUAUCACUGUUUCACAUUAUUUGGCAUGUUAUUUGAUCUCAAUCCUAAGUUUUAAUGUUGUUUUUGACAAACUCAGCCAAUUUCUAACAUUCAAUGGCCCAAAUGAUUUUUUACUGAUAUUUUGAGCUGAUUAUUUCAAAUAUUUCCCGAGAGACUAAUGUAUUUUUAUGGACCGAGCAUGGAUCAGGCUGCACACCGUGGCAGUGUGUAUAUAUAUUAGUUCGGACUGCACGCCGCAGUGAUAUAAUGCUUGGGAUGUAAGAGCCCAUCC
rnacentral:lncRNA from 1 species